GAUGAACGCUGGCGGUAUGCUUUACACAUGCAAGUCGUACGAGAGUUUUUAACUCAAGUGGCGGACGGGUGAGUAACACGUAAGAAUUUACCUUUAGGAGGGGGAUAACAACUGGAAACGGCUGCUAAUACCCCAUAUGCUUUCGAGUGAAAUGGAAUUUUCUGCCUAGAGAGAAGCUUGCGGCUGAUUAGCUUGUUGGUAAGGUAAUGGCUUACCAAGGCGACGAUCAGUAUCUGGUUUGAGAGGACGAUCAGACACACUGGAACUGAGACACGGUCCAGACUCCUACGGGAGGCAGCAGUGGGGAAUUUUCCGCAAUGGGCGAAAGCCUGACGGAGCAAUACCGCGUGAGGGAUGACGGCCUAUGGGUUGUAAACCUCUUUUUUCAGGGAGGAAUAAAUGACGUGUACCUGAAGAAUAAGCAUCGGCUAACUCCGUGCCAGCAGCCGCGGUAAGACGGAGGAUGCAAGUGUUAUCCGGAAUCACUGGGCGUAAAGCGUCUGUAGGUGGUUUAAUAAGUCAACUGUUAAAUCUUGAGGCUCAACUUCAAAAUCGCAGUCGAAACUAUUAGACUAGAGUAUAGUAGGGGUAAAGGGAAUUUCCAGUGGAGCGGUGAAAUGCGUAGAGAUUGGAAAGAACACCGAUGGCGAAGGCACUUUACUGGGCUAUUACUAACACUCAGAGACGAAAGCUAGGGUAGCAAAUGGGAUUAGAUACCCCAGUAGUCCUAGCCGUAAACAAUGGAUACUAGAUGUUGAACAGAUCGACCUGUGCAGUAUUAAAGCUAACGCGUUAAGUAUCCCGCCUGGGAAGUAUGCUCGCAAGAGUGAAACUCAAAGGAAUUGACGG
rnacentral:rRNA from 1 species